AUUAUUUUUUUCAAUUUUGGCAUUUUGUUGUUUACACUAUUUAUAAGAGAGACAGAAGGGGUACAAAAGAGGUGUGGGCACAACUCCAAAAAAUGGAUGAGGUACAGGGGGUGGAAUGAGGUCCGGGGACGCUAAAGACCCCAGGUAUGGGUUUAAGGGUUAAUCAUUUUCACCCUAUUUGUUCAGUAUUUGUUUAUUGCUGACAAUUGAAAGCAGCAUUGAUUUCCAUAGUUUUUACAUUAGGCCUAGUAAUAACAGUCAUAAUUCCCUACUCCCAAUCUUGACAUUUCAUCUGAACAUCAACAUUUGUUCGAUUUAUUCCUUCAGAACAGUUUUGAGGUUAAAAGGAUAGUUCACGCAAAAAUUACAAUUAUCUCAUCAUUUAGGCUACUCACCCUCAAGCCAGAUGUUUAUGACUCUCUUUCUUCUGCACACAAACAAAGAUUUUUUUAAUCUCAGCACUGUUGGUCCUUACAAUGCAAGUGCAUGGUGACCAGACCUUUGAAGCUCCAAAAAUCACAUAAAGGCCACAUAAAAGUAAUCCAUAUGACUCCAGUGGUUAAAUCUGUAUCUUCUGAAGCAACAUUUCACUUUCACAUUCAUUCACAUUUUAAAAGUGAAAGUGGAGAUUUAUGAUUAAAAAAAAAAAAAAAAAGAAAAAGAAAAAGAAAAUACAAAAUAUUCAUCUGUUUCUCAUCUACACCAAUCAUAUCGCUUCAGAACAUACGGAUUUAACUACUGGAGUCAUAUGGAUUACUUUUAUGUGGCCUGCACAUGAUUUUUGGAGGCUCAAAAUGUCUAGUCCCCAUUCAUUUGCACUGUAUAGAUUUACAGAUAUUAGAGAUAUUCUUCUAAAAAUAUUUGAAAGUUAUAGCCUACACGCGUUAGGGGCAGAACAGACCGAACGCGUCCUUGCUCAAAAAAAAAAGCUAGACGAAGCGCAACGCAUAUUGCAGAACUCAGGUGUCUCGAGAUACAUAUAAUAUAAUACAUAUACAUAUAACAUAUAAUAAUAAUAAUAAAAAAAUAUAUAUAUAUAUAUAUAUAUCACAUAUAUAUAUAUAUAUAUAUAUAUUUUAAACGGCGCCGACAGACGCGAAAAUGCGUUCGAUGUGAACGCCCCCUUCCCCUUUUGUUGUUGCAAGGAACGCUACAUGGUUACCAUGGCUACAGCAAUCUAAACAUUUGGGACUGUUCCACAAGUUCUUGCGCCUUAUUUAUAAUUAAUAACAUGUCAAAAUCAAAGCAAGACCAACUGUACAAGUUGAAUAUGCAGAGAGAAACGUGGUGUCGCGUCGAGACAACCAGCAGGUUCUGGAAUUUGCCUGAAAGAAAACACUUCCGUUGUCACUUAAAGAACACCUGUGACUUAAGUGCGCAACAGAGACCCGAGCAACGGUCUUUUUGGAUGGGGAGCAACAACACCCAGCAUCCAGAGCGAAAACACUUUGAAGAGACCUAUCAAGCUCAUCUGGUGUGAGGAACUGCAAUCAACCUCAAUGCAGAGUAAAUGUUUUUCUCCAGACAGCAAUAAACAUGUACUAUAAUCAA